AUAACUUCUCAGCCUUUGGGCUAAGAUCAAGUGUAGUAUCAAAGUCUUUUACUAUUUUUCUUCAUUUUUAAACAUUCUUAAACAUUGAUGUAUCUCGAGAUUUCUGACAAUUGUCUAUCUGCUCACAGCAAAUGUCAUCAUUA
rnacentral:snRNA from 1 species